rnacentral:rRNA from 1 species
CGCUGGCGGCAUGCUUUACACAUGCAAGUCGAACGGUAACAGGGAGCUUGCUCCGCUGACGAGUGGCGAACGGGUGAGUAAUAUAUCGGAACGUACCCAAGAGUGGGGGAUAACGUAGCGAAAGUUACGCUAACACCGCAUACGAUCUAAGGAUGAAAGCAGGGGACCGCAAGGCCUUGUGCUCCUGGAGCGGCCGAUAUCUGAUUAGCUAGUUGGUAGGGUAAAGGCCUACCAAGGCAUCGAUCAGUAGCUGGUCUGAGAGGACGACCAGCCACACUGGAACUGAGACACGGUCCAGACUCCUACGGGAGGCAGCAGUGGGGAAUUUUGGACAAUGGGCGCAAGCCUGAUCCAGCAAUGCCGCGUGAGUGAAGAAGGCCUUCGGGUUGUAAAGCUCUUUUGUCAGGGAAGAAACGGGUGUGGCUAAUAUCUGCAUCUAAUGACGGUACCUGAAGAAUAAGCACCGGCU